AGUGAACGCUGGCGGUAGGCCUAACACAUGCAAGUCGAACGGCAGCACAGUAAGAGCUUGCUCUUACGGGUGGCGAGUGGCGGACGGGUGAGGAAUACAUCGGACUCUACUUUUUCGUGGGGGAUAACGUAGGGAAACUUACGCUAAUACCGCAUACGACCUACGGUUGAAAGCAGGGGAUCUUCGGACCUUGCGCGAUUGAAUGAGCCGAUGUCGGAUUAGCUAGUUGGCGGGGUAAAGGCCCACCAAGGCGACGAUCCGUAGCUGGUCUGAGAGGAUGAUCAGCCACACUGGAACUGAGACACGGUCCAGACGCCUACGGGAGGCAGCAGUGGGGAAUAUUGGACAAUGGGCGCAAGCCUGAUCCAGCCAUACCGCGUGGGUGAAGAAGGCCUUCGGGUUGUAAAGCCCUUUUGUUGGGAAAGAAAAGCAGCAGGUUAAUACCCAGCUGUUCUGACGGUACCCAAAGAAUAAGCACCGGCUAACUUCGUG
rnacentral:rRNA from 1 species